GCUUGCUAUGUGCCUGACUGAUGAAAAUAAAUCAGCUUGCUUCAAGUAUGCCUAUUCUUCAAGUAUGCCUAUUCUCCCCUCUUUAGAGAACAGAUCAUUUUGAUCUUUCUCUAAACCUUGUUUAAUCCAAAAGACAGAUUCUGGGUAUUAAAAAAAGAAUCUCAUAACCACUGAAGCGCUGGGCUGUCAUGUGUUGUGUGGUGAGAUUUGUUAUCAGCUGAGUGACCUGGUGACUGGCAUGAAGUAUUGUAGGAUGCCCUAGUGUGAUAGUAGUAGCAGUUUCAACAGCCAUUGCACAUGCUAUCAAUGCUCUGAGACACGCCGGCAUACCCUGUACCGGAGCUUGAACUACUUUGGAAAAGAAUGCUAUGGGACGCAUACCGCCUCCUUGCUCUUGUGCACAGACCGCGGCCAUGGUUUUACAAUUGUCCCAAGCAUACAAAUGAAAUGGUUUACAAUACACAGGUAGUCCUAAAGCCUGGGCUUGCACAAUAACAACUGUAAGGGCAAUAUAUGCAGCUAGCAUGUCUGGUGACCAGCAGACAUUUUCAGGGCUGUCAGAACGUACAGCCUCCCUUAGGAUUGAGUCAUAAUGGGAGCAUUCAGGGAUCCAUUGGUGGCAGUAAUUAAUCAUGCCGAGGAAGGUGAGCAACUCCUUCCGAGUAGUGGGUGUUGGAAUCCUCUGAAUGACCUCAAUACAUUUUGGACUCAAUUGUCUGGUGCCUAAAGCCAGAACAAAACCUAAGUAUUCAACCUUUGAUUUACACAAUUGCAUUUUGUGUUUAACAACCUUGUGACCCACAGUUGCUGACAGUAUCCACAGUGCUUGCCUCAUAGCUAGGGCUACAUAACAACAAAUCAUCAACAUUUUGCAAAAAGGACGGAACCAUGACCGAUGGUCCAUGUUUUUUAGAGUAUGUUGGAGUACCAACGAAUAAACAGCUGGGGAAUCCACAUAGCCUUGGGUAAGCGUGUCCAGGUAAACUGACAGCCUUCAAAAAGUAAAAACCAUAAGUAGC
rnacentral:lncRNA from 1 species